UGACGUAUUACAGGUAAACAAUAUGGCGGCUUCCAUGAGUGUUGCCAACGCCGCCGCUAGCGGAGAUUUGACAUUGGUGAAGGAACUUCUCCGACAAGGUGGACCUCCCAAUGAACGGUCUAAGGAUGGGAUGACUCCAUUGGCUGUGGCAGCUUUCUGGGGUUAUGCUGAAAUUGUAGAAGUUCUGCUGGAAUGCAGAGCAGAUAUUAAUACAUGUAACAACAACACAAUGUGGACAGCCUUACACUGUGCUGCCUUUCAAGGUCAUGGAAAGGUCAUCAUGAAAUUGAUGGAAUACAAACCUGACCUCUAUCUCAAGGACAAUCAGGGGAGGACUGCUGUUGACUUUGCUUCAGCACUGGAUGCAAUUUGGCCGUUUUUUGCAGCUGCUGGAUGUAAAAGAACAACAAAAGCAGAUCUCAUUCGAAUGGACAUUGUAAAAAAGGUGUCUCAUGAUCCAGCCAAUGUAAAUCCAUCCGUACAUGGCAUACAGCAGUCAGACUUUGCUCACUUCUCACGACCAGGAUCAGCAUAUGUGAUGAAAUCUCAACCCUACAGAGGGCAGAAUAACUACACAGACUCCAAUAUGGCUAUGGCCUCAGUUACGGGAGAUGUGCUGGCUGGUACACCAGAUCUACCCCUAAACAACAGUAGGACAACCGUCCCCUCCUUCUCACUGUGGCAGCACUGACCAUAGGGCAAGGACUCCUGGUGGUGGGGUCAAAGACAUUUGUUGAAAUAUCCAGACUUCCAAGUGAUGAUUAAGGAUUUUAUUUGGUGAUAUUAAGACAUUCUGUCUGUGUGGUGAAAGGCUAACGGACACUGUAGAUUUGGACUAUUGGAUCAAAGCUUCAAGGAAAUGGAUUUAAAGAGAUUCUGGAAAAUGUAAUUAAGGAGACAUUGUCUUAACUGCAAUUACUUAAUGUCAGAGCCAAUGUCAUUGUCAUAUCAGGGACACCUGGAGAAAGUCUGUAUCGCAGACUUUCAGAGAUUUGUUGAAGGAUUUCUGAAAAGCUUCAAGCAUUUUGUUGUGGGGUGAUUGGGUGAAACACCCAUAUAAAUUGGCUUAAUAGCUUCAAAGAUUAAUAACGGUUUACUGACUGUGAACCAUCAUGUCAAGAACUACAAUAACAUUCACAUAAUUUGAACCAUCGGGUCAAGGAUUAUCAUGUACCAUUCAUUGACUGAGUUUUCAAGACAAGGAACGAAAAUCACUAGAAAGUCGUUAAACCCAAUAGUUUAGUUGACAUGGUCAGAGAUUCAGUAUUGUGUAGUGCUGUCAUAGACAGUAGGAACAGGAGGUCUUGUGUUGACUUUUGUCAUCUCAUUUGACAAGUUAAGGUGUCCAUGGACUGAGAGCUAGUUCCUACAUGUCAUUCUAACCCAGUGGUUGAGUAAUGCUGACAACAGGGUCCAUAAAACAUCUCCAAUGUCUUUAACAUGUGUUCAUAUGAUGCAUAGUGUGACUUUACAUCAAAUUCACAGCUUGGCCUUAGGUGGCUGACCUGUAACAUGUACUGAUGUCAUUACCUUGACCAGUGGUUAGAUGAAUAUGUAUGCUUGUCCAUAUGAAUUGGACCUCUUCUAGCUUACAUUGUCACACUGUAAAGAAAUAUUUGGUAAUGGGAAAGACAGUGCUUUUUUUCUUGUAUAUUUUAUUUCAUGUGACAUUCAUAAAAUCCUUUUAAGCUAUUGAUUUCAACUUUUCUCUUUUUCCAUUUUUAAGAUACAUUAUACAUGUACAUUAAAUUUCACUUUUUUUUUCAUAACAAAUAGUAUCUUUCACUUUCUGCUGUUGUUAAGUUUUGAAUCACUCAUUUAUGAUUAUGUGUUCUCAAACCGAGUCAAACCUUGAACUUAAGUGCAAUCUUGUUAUAUUAAAGUGAAUUUCUCAUUCUUUUUUAUUUUAACAUCUGAAAAUUUCUUCAUGAUUUUUGAAGGGUUUGGUUGACCCUGAUGCACAUGAUCAUGAAAUCUGUAGAUCAUACUGUAGUUGUAAAGUGAAAUCAUGAUAAUACUGUAGUUGUAAGGUGAAAUCAUGAUAACACUGUAGUUGUAAGGUAAAAUCAUGAUAACACUGUAGUUGUAAGGUGAAAUCAUGAUAACAAUAGUUGUAAUGUGAAAUCAUGAUAACUAGUUGUAAGGUGAAAUCAUGAUAACACUGUAGUUGUAAGGUGAAAUCAUGAUAACACUGUAGUUGUCAGGUGAAAUCAUGAUAACUAGUUGUAAGGUGAAAUCAUGAUAACACUGUAGUUGUAAGGUGAAAUCAUGAUAACACCGAAGUUGUAAGGUGAAAUCAUGAUAACACUGUAGUUGUAAGGUGAAAUCAUGAUAACACUGUAGUUGCUAGGUGAAAUCAUAAUAACACUAGUUGUAAGGUGAAAUCAUGAUAACACUGUAGUUGUAAGGUGAAAUCAUGAUAACACUGUAGUUGUAAGGUGAAAUCAAAGAUCAUAUUCAUACAAUGUAUAUGUACAGUGGCCUGGCUUAUCGGCGAGAAAAACAUAUUUAGCUGCUGUAAGGGUUUUUAACUGACUUUGGUAAAUAGAAACCAUUUUUAAGUAUUGUACAAUUUGUAGAAUUAUUUGCAAAUACUGGUGAAAAUGUCAACCCUAGAUAUUAUAUAGUUAAUAUGUACCACCAAGGAACCACAUACAAUUGUAUGGUAUCACAAUACCAGUUAUUUCAUCCAACCAAUCAGAGGGCAAGAAUUUGUUAAGUACAUUACAGAUGUUAUUUUUGGCUGUCCUCAAUGCCUUUGCUUCUACUAUUUGAGCUGUAAUGAGCAGAUCUUUCCCCCAUAGUUACCGUGUAUGUAAGUUGUCAAUGUUGUCAUUCCAAAGAAAUUGAAAAAAUUCCUGUAAAUAAUGUUAUUUUGCUUUAUACACUUAAUGUCGUAAAUUUGCACUAUGCCUGUAGGUUUUCUUGCAAUACAUACAAUGUACUUCAUUUUAUAAAAAAGAGGGUGUCAUUUCAAUAUUGAAAGUGAUUAUACAGUACCAGGUGUAUGAAAUUUAUAUUCACUGACAAGUUUGAUUUGUUAAUGAGUGUCCAUGCAAUAAAGUGAUUUGCUGUAUCUACUUAUAAUUCAAAAGAUAUAUAUAUAUUUAGAAAUAUGCGACUGUCAUAUUAACCCAUUCAUACAAGUAAAUAUCAAUACAUGUACCACUACUCCAAACUGGGUAAUUAACUUGCCGAGACCUAGCAGAGACUGGGUUGUUUAAACUGUACAUGCUAUGCAUGCAGCAGAGACUCAUUGGCAAUGUACCAUUACAUGAUGGUUAAUAAGUAUAACUGAUAAUACAGUACUGUACCAUGUUUUCUAGCUAUUAAUUUUAUUAUAAGUGUAUAAACAAAGUGUAAGAUAAACAAAAUUAAUGUAUGUACAUACCUAGACUUUAAGGUUAUCAUCCAUACUUAUAACCUGUUUUAAUACCGUAAUGUUGUCAAUUCAGUUGUUUUUAAUUAUAAAAAUAUUAUGUUCAUCGUGUCAGACAUCUAAAUCUCUGACUAUAUAUAAGCCAAAGACUGCUGAUGUUGUAAAUGUUUGUGUUAAUAUAGGAAGAUAUGAGAAUUAAUGCUUGUGAACGCUUAGGUGUGUGGCAUGGAAAGACAAAGAGAUAACAUUAUAUGUAUUGAAAACUUAUGUACAAUAACAAAUGUGUUGAAUUCAAUAUAAAACAUGAUAAGAGACAUCACUUGGAUUGUUUUACU
rnacentral:misc_RNA from 1 species